rfam:Hordeum vulgare subsp. vulgare, WGS project CAJW01000000 data, contig: morex_contig_59728
AACAUACUCUCUCUGUCCCAAAAUUUUUGUCUUAGAUUUGUCUAAAUAUGAAUGUAUCUAGUCACGUUUUAGUAUUUAGAUAUCUUCAUUUCUAGACAAAUGUAAGACAAGAAUUUNGGGACGGAGGGAGUACUAC